UACGGAGGGGUCUAGCGUUGUUCGGAAUUACUGGGUGUAAAGGGUUCGUAGGCGGUGUGGCAAGUCGGGAGUGAAAUCUCUGGGCUCAACCCAGAGUCUGCUUCCGAAACUGCUGUGCUUGAGUGUGGGAGAGGCGCGUGGAAUUGCAGGUGUAGCGGUGAAAUGCGUAGAUAUCUGCAGGAACACCCGUGGCGAAAGCGGCGCGCUGGACCACUACUGACGCUGAGGAACGAAAGCUAGGGGAGCAAACAGG
rnacentral:rRNA from 1 species